GAUGAAGAACGUAGCGAAAUGCGAUAAGUAAUGUGAAUUGCAGAGUUCAGUGAAUCAUCGAAUCUUUGAACGCUCAUUGCGCCCCCUGGUAUUCCGGGGGGCAUGCCUGUUCGAGCGUCAUUUCACCACUCAAGCCUCGCUUGGUAUUGGGCAACGCGGUCCGCCGCGUGCCUCAAAUCGACCGGCUGGGUCUUCUGUCCCCUAAGCGUUGUGGAAACUAUUCGCUAAAGGGUGUUCGGGAGGCUACGCCGUAAAACAACCCCAUUUCUAAGGUUGACCUCGGAUCAGGUAGGGAUACCCGCUGAACUUAAGCAUAUCAAUAAGCGGAGGA
rnacentral:misc_RNA from 1 species